UGGGGAAUAUUGGGCAAUGGGGGAAACCCUGACCCAGCAACGCCGCGUGAAGGAAGAAGGCCUUCGGGUUGUAAACUUCUUUUACCAGGGACGAAGGACGUGACGGUACCUGGAGAAAAAGCAACGGCUAACUACGUGCCAGCAGCCGCGGUAAUACGUAGGUUGCAAGCGUUGUCCGGAUUUACUGGGUGUAAAGGGCGUGUAGGCGGAGCUGCAAGUCAGAUGUGAAAUCCCGGGGCUCAACCCCGGAACUGCAUUUGAAACUGUAGCCCUUGAGUAUCGGAGAGGCAAGCGGAAUUCCUAGUGUAGCGGUGAAAUGCGUAGAUAUUAGGAGGAACACCAGUGGCGAAGGCGGCUUGCUGGACGACAACUGACGCUGAGGCGCGAAAGCGUGGGGAGCAAACA
rnacentral:rRNA from 1 species